CCCAUCCCAGGCUCCCAGGGAGAGGAUAAGAGGGGCCUGGCAGAGCCCGGACCCAGCUGGUUCUCUCUGGGGAGCAGAGCUCUCGGGGUCCCCUGCACCAUGGCCUGGCCUCUUGUCUGCCUCCUCCUGCUCACCUGCUGCUCAGGUUCCUUCUCCCAGCCUGUGCUGACUCAGGCUCCCUCCAUGUCUGUGUCCCUGGGAGCCACGGCCAGACUCUCCUGCACCCUGGACAGUCAGCACAGAGGGUACACUAUUGAUUGGCACCAGCAGAUCCCGGGAAAGGCCCCUCGGUACCUCAUGUAUGUCGACAGUGAUGGAGAUGUAGAGAAGGGCGAGGGGGUCCCCGACCGCUUCUCGGGCUCCAGCUCUGGGGCCAAUCGCUACUUGUCCAUCAGCAACAUCCAGCCUGAGGACGAGGCCGAUUACUACUGUGGGACAGGUGAUAGUGAUGGUUUACACAGUGAUACAUUCAGUGGGGAAGUGGGACAAAAACCCCACUGCCAGCCCAGCCCCGCCCCCCUGCUGGCCCCGACUUCUGAUACAGCCCCAGCUGCUAAAGGGCCCGAGGUUGUGCUUCCUCUUUCUCUGUCUCAGGCUCAGAAGCCGGUGACCAGGACUUGCCCAAGAGCCCACUGA